rnacentral:rRNA from 1 species
UACGUAGGGUGCAAGCGUUAUCCGGAAUUAUUGGGCGUAAAGAGCUCGUAGGCGGUUUGUCGCGUCUGCUGUGAAAACUGGGGGCUCAACUCCCAGCCUGCAGUGGGUACGGGCAGACUAGAGUGCGGUAGGGGAGAUUGGAAUUCCUGGUGUAGCGGUGAAAUGCGCAGAUAUCAGGAGGAACACCGGUGGCGAAGGCGGAUCUCUGGGCCGUAACUGACGCUGAGGAGCGAAAGCAUGGGGGAGCGAACAGG